UGCGGUUAAAAAGCUCGUAGUUGGAUCUGUGUCCCGCGCCGUCGGUUCACCGCCUGUCGGUGUUAAACUGGCGUGUAUGUGGGACGUCCUGUCGGUGGUGGUUCGGGGCUUCGGCGACCGUACGUGUCGGUCAGUUUUCUGUUCCGGCGCUGAAAGUCGUCGUACGCUUCCGUCCGCCUUUUCAAUCCCGUCGCGGUGCUCUUCACCGAGUGUCGAGGCGGGCCGGCACGUUUACUUUGAACAAAUUAGAGUGCUCUAAGCAGGCAAGUACCCGCCCGCAUAUUGUGUGCAUGGAAUAAUGGAAUAGGACCUCGGUUCUAUUUUGUUGGUUUUCGGAAUCUGAGGUAAUGAUCAAUGGGGACGGGCGGGGGCAUUCGUAUUGCGACGUUAGAGGUGAAAUUCUUGGAUCGUCGCAAGACGGACCGAAGCGAAAGCAUUUGCCAAGUACGUUCCCGUCGAUCAAGAACGAAAGUUAGAGGUUCGAAGGCGAUCAGAUACCGCCCUAGUUCUAACCAUAAACUAUGCCUGCCAGCGAUCCGCCGGCGUUCCUCCGAUGACCCGGCGGGCAGCUUCCGGGAAACCAGAGCUUUUGGGUUCCGGGGGAAGUAUGGUUGCAAAGCUGAAACUUAAAGGAAUUGACGGAAGGGCACCACCAGGAGUGGAGCCUGCGGCUUAAUUUGACUCAACACGGGAAAACUCACCAGGCCCGGACACCGGAAGGAUUGACAGAUUGAGAGCUCUUUCUUGAUUCGGUGGGUGGUGGUGCAUGGCCGUUCUUAGUUGGUGGAGCGAUUUGUCUGGUUAAUUCCGAUAACGAACGAGACUCUAGCCUACUAAAUAGACGUAUCCGGUAUCCACAAUCGUGCUACCGGCGAGCAAAUCGCUUCUUAGAGGGACAGGCGGCUUCUAGCCGCACGAGACUGAGCAAUAACAGGUCUGUGAUGCCCUUAGAUGUCCUGGGCCGCACGCGCGCUACACUAAAGGAAUCAGCGUGUCUUCCCUGUCCGAGAGGACCGGGUAACCCGCUGAACCUCCUUUGUUAUAGGGAUUGGGGCUUGCAACUGUUCCCCAUGAACGAGGAAUUCCCAGUAAACGCGAGUCAUAAGCUCGCGUUGAUUACGUCCCUGCCCUUUGUACACACCGCCCGUCGCUACUACCGAUUGAAUGAUUUAGUGAGGUCUUCGGACUGGUACGCGGAGGUGGCUUCCGCCGCGUCCGAUGUUGUCGGAAAGAUGACCAAACUUGAUCAUUUAGAGGAAGUAAAAGUCGUAACAA
rnacentral:rRNA from 1 species